CCGUGCCGGGGAGGCCUUAAAAGGGAAGCCGGUGAAAAUCCGGAACUGUGCCCGCAGCUGUGAACUCCUUAACGGUCCGGCAAGUAUGCCAUCGAGGCCUGUCCUCGAGAAGGCGCCGCGCCGGGAGCAGUCAGAAGACCUGCCUUGUCAAGU
rnacentral:ncRNA from 1 species